rnacentral:rRNA from 1 species
GGUGUACUUUCUCGUAACGUAGGUCAUCAUCGGUUUCGGUCGUUAUAAAAUGAUCGGAGGAAUGUGGCUUCGACCUCGGUUGAAGUGUUAUAGCCUUUGUUAAAUGUAACGGUUGGGAUCGAGGAUUGCAACGGAUGCUCGUCAGGGCUAUCCGUCUGGUCUCUGAUUUGUCACUUUGGCGUUAAAAGCUUGCUUAUGACGUUAAAGUGCGCGGUCAAAAGAUCAGAACGGAUUAAAUUCGUUAAGGAUGUUGACGUAAUGGCUUUAAACGA